AUGAUGAGAGCCAAAAUCUUCGCGCCCUUUUGCAAAAUCUACCGCGCUAGGGUUUUAGCUUCUCCAGGAAGAAGAGGAAAUGCAUUAUCUUCUCUGAAAUCCUUCCGUUAAGAAAAGGAAGCGGAGGAGGAAGAAGGAGUUAUAUCAGGUUUGAGUUAUCUUCACUUAUCGACGCUUCCAUGGCAUUCUCUGCGAGCUUUCGCUUCACCUCCGCCUCGAUCGUUCGAUUCCGGCGUUGCAACCUCUGCGCUCAUUACCCGUCCAUUCUGCUUUCUGGCUGCGAUCCUGGCUCCAAGGUUCGCUUUUUGUCAUCGGUCCGGCCGCGGCGGGCUACACGGUUUAUCCGAGCGCGGCGAAGGGAUACCGACGGAGCGCCCGCAGUGAAGGAGGAGGCCGGUGAAGGGAAGGAGCAGAGGGACGAGGGUGCUGGGGGAGGGAACGGAAGCUUGGCUAUUAAGGAUAGGAGAGUCGUCACGACGGAGCUUCAUAAAGAGGCGACGGAAUCGUAUCUUGCUUACGCGAUGUCGGUUCUGGUUGGACGGGCUUUGCCGGACGUGCGCGAUGGUUUGAAGCCGGUUCAUCGGCGGAUACUAUUUGCUAUGCAUGAACUUGGCCUUUCAUCUCGAAGGCCAUUCAAGAAAUGUGCCAGGGUUGUGGGAGAGGUACUGGGAAAAUAUCAUCCACAUGGUGAUACAGCUGUCUAUGAUUCGCUAGUCAGGAUGGCACAGGAUUUUUCAAUGCGCUCGCCACUUGUUCAAGGCCAUGGAAAUUUUGGUUCAAUUGAUGCAGAUCCUCCUGCUGCAAUGCGAUAUACAGAGUGCAGAUUGGAGGCACUUACUGAAGUCGUGCUUUUAUCUGAUCUUGAAGAAAACACAGUAGACUUUGUCCCCAAUUUUGAUGCAUCUCAACAAGAGCCAUCUCUUUUGCCUGCUCGUGUUCCAUCUCUUUUGUUGAAUGGUUCAUCUGGUAUUGCGGUUGGAAUGGCAACUAACAUACCUCCACACAAUCUUGGGGAACUUGUAGAUGCUCUUUCUGUAUUGAUUCAUAAUCCUGAAGCCACGCUUCAAGAGUUGCUUGAGUAUAUGCCAGGGCCUGACUUUCCAACUGGAGGGCAAAUAAUGGGAAAUGCUGGGAUACUGCAAGCAUAUAGGACUGGACGUGGUAGUGUCAUACUUAGAGGGAAAGCAGACAUAGAAUUGAUUGAAGAAAAGGCUAAGCGGAGUGCAAUUAUUAUUACAGAGAUUCCAUAUCAAACCAAUAAAGCUUCUCUAAUUGAGAAAAUUGCUGAGCUUGUGGAAAGUAAGAUGUUAGAGGGUAUAAGUGAUAUAAGGGAUGAGAGUGAUCGGUCUGGUAUGAGAAUAGUGAUUGAGGUGAAAAGAAGCUCGGAUCCAUCUGUUGUCUUAAACAAUUUGUACAGGCUUACUUCCCUGCAAUCUAGUUUCAGCUGCAACAUGGUAGGCAUUCUUGAUGGACAACCGAAACUGAUGGGUCUCAAAGAGUUGCUUCAGGCUUUUUUAGAUUUUAGAUGUUCUGUUGUUGAAAGACGUGCCAAGUUUAGGCUUGCUCAAGCUCAAGAACGAGAGCAUGUCAUAGAGGGUAUUAUUGUAGGUAUUGAAAAUUUAGAUGCUGUCAUCCGUACAAUUAAAGAAACCCAGAACAACAAGGUGGCUUCGACUGCAUUGCAAAAUGAUUUUAAUUUAACUCAAAAGCAGGCUGAAGCUCUACUGGACAUAACCUUGCGGAGGCUCUCCCUUUUUGAGAGGGAGAAGCUUGUAGAUGAAAGAAAAUCUUUAAAGGAGCAAAUUCGUAAAUUAACUGAACUUCUUUCUAGCAGAAAAAGUAUACUACAGUUGGUAGAACAAGAAGCCAUUGAAGUGAAGAACAAAUUUAAAACUCCAAGGCGCUCAGUGUUGGAGGAUGCAGAAGGUAGUCAAUUAGAAGAAAUAGAUGUUAUCCCUAACGAAGAGAUUAUAUUGGCUCUCAGUGAGAAAGGAUAUGUCAAAAGGAUGAAACCUAGCACAUUUAAUCUGCAAAAUCGUGGAACAAUUGGAAAAUCUGUUGGGAAAAUGCGGGUUAAUGACCUGAUGUCUGACUUCCUUGUCUGCCACACACACGAUCAUGUUCUUUAUUUCAGUGAUAGGGGAAUAGUUUACUCUUCUCGUGCAUACCGGAUACCUGAAUGUUCUCGAACAGCUGCUGGCACACCAUUGGUCCAGAUACUAUCUUUAUCUGAAGGAGAAAGAAUAACCUCAAUAAUUCCAGUGAGCGAGUUUGCUGAAGAUCAAUAUCUUGUUAUGUUGACAGCAAAUGGAUUUAUCAAGAAAACAUCUUUGAACUUCUACUCAGCAAUUAGAUCAACGGGGAUAAUUGCAAUUCAGCUUGUCCCUGGUGAUGAAUUAAAGUGGGUGCGUUGCUGCACAAAUGACGACAUUGUUGCAAUGGCUUCCCAGAGUGGGAUGGUCCUUCUAAGUUCUUGUAAUAGUCUUCGGGCACUUUCAAGAAACACACGUGGUGUGGUUUCAAUGAAACUUAAGGACUCGGACCGCAUGGCAUGUAUGGACAUUAUUCCAGCAUCAAUGCAGAAAGACUUGCAGAGAGAGCAUAAAGAUGCAGGUCCAUGGCUGCUCUUCAUAUCAGAAGGUGGUUAUGGGAAGCGUGUAUCACUAAGACAAUUCCGACUGUCACCUCUAAGGAGAGUUGGCUUGGUUGGUUAUAAGCUUAACCCAGAUGACCAUAUUGCUGCUGUCUUUGUCGUUGGGUUUUCAUUAUCUGAUGAUGGUGAAAGUGAUGAACAAGUUGUUUUAGUAAGUCAAAGUGGAACAGUCAAUAGAAUCAAGGUUAGAGAUGUUUCAAUCCAGUCACGUUUUGCAAGGGGUGUUAUUCUUAUGAGACUGGAGCUUGCGGGGAAGAUUCAAUCUGCGUCACUGAUAUCUGCAACAGAUCAUGAUGCUGAGUUCAAAGAAUGAUAUCUACUGUGGAAGUGUCCCAUUGGGUAGUUUACAGGUUAGAAGACCAAAGUGGGAUUAAGCAUAGGUGCAGGCUGCUGGAUAACAUCUACAGUUAUGUAACUACAUAGGACAACCAUGGUUUGAAAUGCAGCGAUUUGUGCAGCUCUGCCUCGAGGCUUUUGAGUGAUGAAUGGUAGUUAUACGUUGGUGUGGAAGGUGAGGAUCAUGGAGCUGUUAUGAUCCAUGGACAGGAUCGACUUCUAUGAAGGACUGAUGAUAGGGAUUUAAAGACAAUGCCAUAGUGGGCCCAUCAAGUUAUUGGGCUCUGGCACAUGCUGGUUCCUGUUGCACUCGGAGUAUGUCUGCAAUGAACAUGGCGUAAUGGCAUUUCGGUGCAUUCAUCGGUAUGCAUCCUCAGAAGUUAACGAAUGAGCUCAGUUGGCAUUGCAUGAUUUGCAUUGUUGUGCUGUAUACAGAUGAAGACUUCGAGGGGUUUUUGUUGGGUCCUAUUCUUUUGCCCCUUUCAGAAGUUCGAUUCAAUUUCAAGUUUUUAUAUUUCAAAUUGAGGCUAUAUUUUCUUGACUGCAGCUAAUGCCCUAUAAGGUGAGAUCCUAAUUUUCCAAAAAUAUUGUGCUUAUA